GUCCACGCCGUAAACGAUGAGUGCUAGGUGCUAUGGGUAUUGACCCCCGUGGUGCCGUAGCUAACGCGUUAAGCACUCCGCCUGGGGAGUACGGCCGCAAGGCUAAAACUCAAAGGAAUUGACGGGGGCCCCGCACAAGCGGUGGAGCAUGUGGUUCAAUUCGACGCAACGCGCAGAACCUUACCUGGGUUAAAUCCACUCGAACCUGGCAGAGAUGUCGGGGUGCCCUUCGGGGAACGAGUGAGAAGGUGCUGCAUGGCUGUCGU
rnacentral:rRNA from 1 species